rnacentral:rRNA from 1 species
UACAGAGGUCUCAAGCGUUGAUCGGAUUCAUUGGGCGUAAAGGGUGUGUAGGUGGCGCGCUAAGUCGGGUGUGAAAUUUCGGAGCUUAACUCCGAAACUGCAUUCGAUACUGGCGUGCUUGAGGACUGGAGAGGAGACUGGAAUUCAUGGUGUAGCAGUGAAAUGCGUAGAGAUCAUGAGGAAGACCAGUGGCGAAGGCGGGUCUCUGGACAGUUCCUGACACUGAGACACGAAGGCCAGGGGAGCAAACGGG